rnacentral:rRNA from 1 species
AUACCCUGGUAGUCCACGCCGUAAACGAUGUCGACUUGGAGGUUGUGCCCUUGAGGCGUGGCUUCCGGAGCUAACGCGUUAAGUCGACCGCCUGGGGAGUACGGCCGCAAGGUUAAAACUCAAAUGAAUUGACGGGGGCCCGCACAAGCGGUGGAGCAUGUGGUUUAAUUCGAUGCAACGCGAAGAACCUUACCUACUCUUGACAUCCAGAGAACUUUCCAGAGAUGGAUUGGUGCCUUCGGGAACUCUGAGACAGGUGCUGCAUGGCUGUCGUCAGCUCGUGUUGUGAAAUGUUGGGUUAAGUCCCGCAACGAGCGCAACCCUUAUCCUUUGUUGCCAGCGGUCCGGCCGGGAACUCAAAGGAGACUGCCAGUGAUAAACUGGAGGAAGGUGGGGAUGACGUCAAGUCAUCAUGGCCCUUACGAGUAGGGCUACACACGUGCUACAAUGGCGCAUACAAAGAGAAGCGACCUCGCGAGAGCAAGCGGACCUCAUAAAGUGCGUCGUAGUCCGGAUUGGAGUCUGCAACUCGACUCCAUGAAGUCGGAAUCGCUAGUAAUCGUAGAUCAGAAUGCUACGGUGAAUACGUUCCCGGGCCUUGUACACACCGCCCGUCACACCAUGGGAGUGGGUUGCAAAAGAAGUAGGUAGCUUAAC